rnacentral:rRNA from 1 species
AUUGAACUCUGGCGGCAGGCUUAACCCAUGCAAGUCGAACGCGUGGCGGACGGGUGAGUAAUGCUUGGGACACUCGCUUCUGGCGGGGGGUAACUACGUGAAAAUGUAGCUAAUACCGCGUACCAUAGGAUGAGCCCAAGUGGGAUUAUGUAGUUGUUGAGGUAAAGGCUCACCAAGCCGACUAUCUCUAGCUGGUCUGAGAGGAUGACCAGCCAACCGGGGACUGGGACACGGCCCAGACUACUACGGUAGGAAGCAGUGGGGAAUAUUGAGCAAUGGUGGCAACCUGACGCAGCCAUGCCGCGUGUAUAAAGAAGGCCUUCGGGUUGUAAAGUUAUUUCGGUAGCGAGGCGUUAACUACAGAAGCAGCACCCACUAACUCCGUGCCAGCACCGCGGUAAUAC